ACGUAGUUUGAUCCUGGCUACAAGAACGACGCUGGCGGCAGGCUUAACACAUGCAAGUCGAGCGCGUAGCAAUACGAGCGGCAGACGGGUGAGUAACGCGUGGGAAUCUACCCAACCCUACGGAAUAACGCAUGGAAACGUGUGCUAAUACCGUAUACGCCCUUCGGGGGAAAGAUUUAUCGGGGAUGGAUGAGCCCGCGUUGGAUUAGCUAGUUGGUGGGGUAAAGGCCUACCAAGGCGACGAUCCAUAGCUGGUCUGAGAGGAUGAUCAGCCACAUUGGGACUGAGACACGGCCCAAACUCCUACGGGAGGCAGCAGUGGGGAAUAUUGGACAAUGGGCGCAAGCCUGAUCCAGCCAUGCCGCGUGAGUGAUGAAGGCCCUAGGGUUGUAAAGCUCUUUCACCGGUGAAGAUAAUGACGGUAACCGGAGAAGAAGCCCCGGCUAACUUCGUG
rnacentral:rRNA from 1 species